rnacentral:rRNA from 1 species
GUAGGUCCCGAGCGUUGUCCGGAUUUAUUGGGCGUAAAGCGAGCGCAGGCGGUUAGAUAAGUCUGAAGUUAAAGGCUGUGGCUUAACCAUAGUACGCUUUGGAAACUGUUUAACUUGAGUGCAAGAGGGGAGAGUGGAAUUCCAUGUGUAGCGGUGAAAUGCGUAGAUAUAUGGAGGAACACCGGUGGCGAAAGCGGCUCUCUGGCUUGUAACUGACGCUGAGGCUCGAAAGCGUGGGGAGCAAACAGGGAUUAGAUACCCUGGUAGUCCACGCCGUAAACGAUGAGUGCUAGGUGUUAGACCCCUUUCCGGGGUUUAGUGCCCGCAGCUAACGCAUUAAGCACUCCGCCUGGGGAGUACGACCGCAAGGUUG